rnacentral:rRNA from 1 species
GAUGAACGCUGGCGGCGUGCCUAAUACAUGCAAGUCGAGCGAACGGACGAGGCGCUUGCUUCUCUGACGUUACCGACGGACGGGUAAUUAACACGUGUAUAACCUACCUAUAAGACUGAGAUAAGUUCAGGAAACCGGAGACAAUACCGGAUCUUAUAUUGAACCGCAUGGUUCAUUAGUGCACGACGGUUUUGCUGUCACUUGGACGUAGUUCCUCGCCGCAUUAGCUAGUUGGUAAGGUAACGGCUUACCAAGGCAACGAUGCGUAGCCGACCUGAGAGGAUGAUCGGCCACACUGGAACUGAGACACGGUCCAGACUCCUACGGGAGGCAGCAGUAGGGAAUCUUCCGCAAUGGGCGAAAGCCUGACGGAGCAACGCCGCGUGAGUGAUGAAGGUCUUCGGAUCGUAAAACUCUGUUAUUAGGGAAGAACAAAUGUGUAAGUAACUAUGCACGUCUUGACGGUACCUAAUCAGAAAGCCACGGCUAACUACGUG